rnacentral:rRNA from 1 species
UACGUAGGGGGCAAGCGUUAUCCGGAUUUACUGGGUGUAAAGGGGGCGCAGACGGCGAUGCAAGCCAGGAGUGAAAGCCCGGGGCCCAACCCCGGGACUACUCUUGGAACUGCGUGGCUGGAGUGCAGGAGGGGCAGGCGGAAUUCCUGGUGUAGCGGUGAAAUGCGUAGAUAUCAGGAGGAACACCGGUGGCGAAGGCGGCCUGCUGGACUGCAACUGACGUUGAGGCCCGAAAGCGUGGGGAGCAAACAGG